rnacentral:rRNA from 1 species
UAAGGAAUAUUGGUCAAUGGACGCAAGUCUGAACCAGCCAUGCCGCGUGAAGGAUGAAGGUCCUCUGGAUUGUAAACUUCUUUUAUCUGGGACGAAAACGGGAUUUUUAUCUCAAUUGACGGUACCAGAGGAAUAAGCACCGGCUAACUCCGUGCCAGCAGCCGCGGUAAUACGGAGGGUGCAAGCGUUAUCCGGAUUUACUGGGUUUAAAGGGUGCGUAGGUGGGCUUAUAAGUCAGUGGUGAAAUCUCCGAGCUUAACUUGGAAACUGCCGUUGAUACUAUAGGUCUUGAAUUAUCUGGAGGUAAGCGGAAUAUGUCAUGUAGCGGUGAAAUGCUUAGAUAUGACAUAGAACGCCAAUUGCGAAGGCAGCUUACUACAUAUAAAUUGACGCUGAGGCACGAAAGCGUGGGGAUCAAACA